rnacentral:rRNA from 1 species
UACGAACUGCGCGAACGUUAUUCGGAAUCACUGGGCUUACAGGGUGCGUAGGCGGCUUCUCAGGUCCGAUGUGAAAUCCCCCGGCUCAACCGGGGAAUGGCAUUGGAAACCGGGAAGCUCGAGUGAGCUAGAGGUGCACGGAACUUCCGGUGGAGCGGUGAAAUGUGUUGAGAUCGGAAGGAACACCAGAGGCGAAGGCGGUGCACUGGGGCUUGUCUGACGCUGAGGCACGAAAGCCAGGGGAGCGAACGGGAGUAGAUACCCCGGUAGUCCUGGCCGUAAACGAUCAGUACUAGACGGAGGGGGGCUUGCCCUUCUCGGUCGUAGCGAAAGCGAUAAGUACUGCGCCUGGGGAGUAUGGUCGCAAGGCUGAA